rnacentral:lncRNA from 1 species
UGAAGCCAGCUGCUUACCUCUUCUCCUGCAGUUGCUUCAUUCAGAAUCCAGACACUCUUCGAGCUGAUGACUGCGUUCUGUCAAUGAUGACCACAAAUGCAGGGAGUGGGCUGUGGGUGCAAGAAAUAUCCUCCCCUCAUCCUGUGGAGCUUAAGACUGACCCUAGAAAAUACAACUCAAGGAUUCCCACUGUAUUUCCCAUUACUUCUAUAAAAAUGUUCAUCUGGGGGCUUUUGGAGGGUGGAGGGCGAGAGGAGAGAGAGGAUCAGGAAAAGUAACUAAUGGGUAGAAGGCUUAAUACCUGGGUGAUGAAAUAAUCUGUACAACAAACCCCUAUGACACAAGUUUACCUACAUAAGAAAUCUGCACUAAUACCCCCUGAACUUAUGAUAAAAGCUAAAAAAAAAAAAGUCCAUCUGAAGGUUUGCAGACAGCUUCCAUGUGUUAUCCCAGAGAUAAUCCACCAGGUAUUCUCAGAGAUCUGGAACCUUGAGAAAUCCUGGAUUGUCCAAGAACCUGAUAG